rnacentral:lncRNA from 1 species
UCUACAGAUGCCGAGGAUGAGGAAACAAUUGAGAUGGAUUUUUCUUGCUUUAUUUUCGUUUUUUUUUUUAAAUAAAAAUUUUAGUGGGUUCUUGUUAUUUAAAGGUGUUGUUUAGUUAUUUAUGAAGUUGAAUUUUUUCUUUAUAUUUAUUUGCACUAGCUUGAUGAUGAUACUAACUACUAAGCAGGCUGGAAUCUUGGAGGGUCGGGUUAGUCAACUAGCAGAUGAUAUUCUUGUUUACAUUUUUUCGAAAUUACGUAAAGGCAGUAGUUGAAAUAUCUAAGUACGUAAACUGGGUUUAUAAAGUCUUGGAAUUGCAUAAAGGAGUACAGAACUUUCAACAAAUUGCAAUACAUACCAAGUAAACAGGUUCUGUAGAGCUGUGCUAAUCUAGUAAUAAUUUGAAUGCUGAAUUUUUUAUUCCAUGAUUGUAUUGCAUAUUUUCUCUGCUGUGGAAUUUGUUUCUUUGCUUUUAAUCAGCUAGCGGUUUGUUUUGGAUCCUAAGAAAGAGUUGGGUUUGGAUAAUGUAAUGAGCAUAUAAAAAACUUCUGUGAUGUGGUGUUUGUUUGUAUUUGUUGCAGAUAGACCAUCAUCGCCUGUAGAUCAGGAAACACAAGAAAUCAGUUUCCCAAGUACACUCAUCAGCACCUCAAGGUGGCAGAGUUGUUAGUCUGAUCUUGAAGUUGCAUUUUACUCGUUUCAAAAUGCAGGCACACUUGAGAAGUUUAUUGUGAAACCUGGUAAAUACAUAGAGAGAAAAUCCUUAGAACUAGCGCUAAGAUGCUAGAGUCUGAGGCACUACAAGGUGUUGUUGAACUUGUAGUCGAUUCACCUUCACUCAAUGUUUUAGACUGAUCAAAGGCUUUGCCGAUUUGUGUAAGUAAAUUUAUGGAACACCACAUGAUGUAAUAAUCAAAUGGAAUGUACACCUGUGCCUCAGUUUGGACAAAUCACAUUGUGAGAAAUGUGAAAUCCAAUUAGUAACGUCACUUUCGUAACCAAACGGGGAUUUCCCAAAAGGAUACUUUAUUUUCAAUUCGUU